GCUCUGGGCGGCUCAGUCAGGAGAGCCUGAGACUCUUAAACUCAGGGUUGCUGGUUUGAGCCCCGUGCGGGGCA